rnacentral:rRNA from 1 species
CUACGGGCCGCAGCAGUGAGGAAUAUUGCACAAUGGGGGAAACCCUGAUGCAGCAACGCCGCGUGGAGGAUGACGCAUUUCGGUGUGUAAACUCCUUUUAUCAGAGAAGAAAAUGACGGUAUCUGGUGAAUAAGCUCCGGCUAACUCCGUGCCAGCAGCCGCGGUAAUACGGAGGGAGCAAGCGUUAUUCGGAAUCACUGGGCGUAAAGGACGCGUAGGCGGGUUUUUAAGUCAGGUGUGAAAUCCUAUGGCUCAACCAUAGAACUGCACUUGAAACUGGGGACCUAGAGUAUGGAAGGGGCAGGUGGAAUUAGUGGUGUAGGGGUAAAAUCCGUAGAUAUCACUAGGAAUACCGAAAGCGAAGGCGACCUGCUGGGACAUUACUGACGCUGAGGCGUGAAAGCGUGGGGAGCAAACAGGAUUAGAUACCCUUGUAGUC